rnacentral:rRNA from 1 species
CCCUUAGAUGUUCUGGGCUGCACGCGCGCUACACUGACGCACGCAACAGGUGCCUGCUCCGAGAGGACUGGGUAAUCAUUUGAGUGUGCGUCGUGAUGGGGAUAGAAUAUUGUAAUUAUUACUCUUCAACGAGGAAUUCCUAGUAAGCGCCAGUCAGCAGCUUGCGCUGAUUACGUCCCUGCCCUUUGUACACACCGCCCGUCGCUCCUACCGAUUGAGUGAUCCGGUGAGGCUCUGGGACCUGGACGGAAAGAGCGUUUCGCUUGUUCUGUUUGGGAAACUUGGUCGAACCUUAUCAUUUAGAGGAAGGAGAAGUCGUAACA